AGGAGACACACGGGGACAGCAGGUCAGCUGGGUGUGUCCCCCAGUGGGUUCCUGGCAUGGACCUCCCCUCCCCCCCUGAGGGUGGGGGUGCAGAGGCCGACUGUCUCCAUCCCAGGGGCCUCGGACGGGCCGAGGUUGGAAGGGUGCAGGGCAGGCAGCACCAGCUCUGCCCUGGCCCGGAGGAGCAGAGUGAGACGCAGGCCGCAGCCAGCGCGGGGCUGAGUCAGGAUUCACAGAGCAGAAAGGUCCUCUCCCUGUGCUGUGUAGCCGCCGAGACACAGCGGCUUCUGGCCUAGUCAGCGUCCAGCACGGGUGUGAGCUUGGAAGGCAGAUACAGUGUGCGGGGCAAGUCCAUUGUACCGGAGGAGCCGUCACGCACUUCCCCGCCUGGCUGGUCCUCACCAGUGUGGGAGCACCUCAGAGCCCGGGGCAGAAAGGGACUCUCCACUGCUCCUCUCAGAGGUUAGGGGAAAGACCAGCUCCUGGCCCUGUGGCUCAGUGAAAUGUGCUCAGUCCCAUACACCGGCUCCAGAAGAAAAUGCACAGAGUGAAUGGGCCACAGAUUCUGCCUUCCCACGCGUCCAUCUGACCACGCACUUCCUGCCUGUCACUUCUGCAUCCUGAUGGGCUCAGGGCUUCUGAGAGGCAGCAGGGGCCUCACCUUGGACACUUUCAUUUCCACCCAUUUCUCUUGUUCUUUAGAAAUCUGAUUUUCUUCUUCCCAGAGCAGUUUGGAGAGUUACACUUCAGGGACUCUGCACAUCAUUCUGAAAUUAGGCAGGACAGCCCCGGGCACUGCCCAGGUCGGAAGCCACCCCGAGGGUGUCCUUGUGUAGCAGCCGUGGGCGCAGACUGCUCUGUCCACGUGGCUGCCAGCCUUGCCACAGGAGGCCAGUCCUGCAGAUUCAAGGAUGACACAGCUGGGUCAAGGGCAUGGCCAGAGAGGAGGUGGCCCCUGGAGAGAGGGCCUUGGUCUCGCUAAGUAGGCCCUGCCGUCUGUGGAAGCCAUCUGGCAACUGUGCUCAACAGAAUUUCCAUCAAUAAUGCAGCAUGGCCGCCCUGGAAGGAUCCAAGCUCUGACUGUCUUCCCACACCCAGCCUGGGUGCAGGAGCUGUGGCCACCUCGCUCCCAGGACACUGCACGGCCAGGGCUGGUGCUCCAGGAGGAUGCAGGGAUCGGGACGGCAGGAAGGACAGGGUGAGGGGGAGCCGCCGGCCAUGACGCCCCAACAGGUGUGCGAUUAGGGCGAGAGUGCUGCGCUCUGGGGUUUGCUGGGUGGUACUGGGAAUGGCCUUGGCAGUUCCGAUCUGGAGUGGAGCAGUGAGGAAUUGAGGAAGAGCUGGUGUGGCCAGGGCCUCAGUCUGGAGAGGGCAGUUAGGAGAAUGCUUUCUCUCGGCCUCCCUCUACCCACGCUGACACCUCUGCAGGCGAGGGAGAUGGCAGCUGGGAAGCCCAGGACGUCCAAAGACUCAGGCAGAUGUCCCUGUGUGCCAGGGCCAAGGAUGCAUCACACAUUUCUGGACAUCUUGGGCUGUUUCUGGACAGCUCUGGCAGUGACUGGGUAUUUUCUUCUGGACUCGUCUGAGCAGUUCUGAAUGUUUCUGGAGGGGUGUGGACACAUCUGGAGGUGCUGGAAUAUAUCCGUGUGCUGGGAAGUGCUGGACAUUUCCGGGUGCACACAGAUGUCCCUGGCCCCGCGGUGGCUCCCUUACAGCUCGCACCCUGGCGCUUCAAUGCCUCUG